rnacentral:rRNA from 1 species
AUUGAACGCUGGCGGCAGGCUUAACACAUGCAAGUCGAGCGGGGUGAUGGUGCUUGCACUAUCACUUAGCGGCGGACGGGUGAGUAAUGCUUAGGAAUCUGCCUAUUAGUGGGGGACAACAUCUCGAAAGGGAUGCUAAUACCGCAUACGUCCUACGGGAGAAAGCAGGGGAUCACUUGUGACCUUGCGCUAAUAGAUGAGCCUAAGUCGGCUUAGUUAGUUGGUGGGGUACAGGCGUACCAAGGCGACGAUCUGUAGCGGGUCUGAGAGGAUGAUCCGACACACUGGGACUGGGCGACGGCCCAGACUCCUACGGAGGGCAGCAGUGGGGAAUAUUGGACAAUGGGGGGAACCCUGAUCCAGCCAUGCCGCGUGUGUGAAGAAGGCCUUAUGGUUGUAAAGCACUUUAAGCGAGGAGGAGGCUCUUUUGGUUAAUACCCAAGAUGAGUGGACGUUACUCGCAGAAUAAGCACCGGCUAACUCUGUGCCAGCCGCCGCCGUAA